UAUGCCCCGUCACCACGUGCCCUCUGUUUGUUCCCUGAAGGGAGCCCAGUGCAGAAUAUGCCCCGUCACCACGUGCCCUCUGUUUGUUCCCUGAAGGGAGCCCAGUGCAGAAUAUGCCCCGUCACCACGUGCCCUCUGUUUGUUCCCUGAAGGGAGCCCAGUGCAGAAUAUGCCCCGUCACCACGUGCCCUCUGUUUGUUCCCUGAAGGGAGCCCAGUGCAGAAUAUGCCCCGUCACCACGUGCCCUCUGUUUGUUCCCUGAAGGGAGCCCAGUGCAGAAUAUGCCCCGUCACCACGUGCCCUCUGUUUGUUCCCUGAAGGGAGCCCAGUGCAGAAUAUGCCCCGUCACCACGUGCUGGUAACACGACGAGGGGCGAUGUCCGUUCUGCCAUACAGCAAAUAUACCUUGAUGUGUAUUCAGUUAAUAUGACGCAAUCGAGCAAGUGUUCCGCUGAUAGUUAUAUGAUACAUUCACAGGGUUAUUCCACGUGACUCAGCCUUCUGGAAGGUAGCAAGUCUCGUGCAUGGUGGACAGUACCCUCGCGUGGACGUUACCUCAACAGCUCCAAGUAGAGUAUUGUACCGUUACGUCGACAUAGCUGUAGCUACUUCGACAGAAGAUGACGCAGAGUGGUAGUCAGUUUCUGGUGCUUCUGAUCCUGGCUGUGACGUCCUUCUGUGUGACAGCCUCUUCGACACCUGGGACUACGACAGGUAUGUU